CUCUCUCUCUCUCUCUCUCUCUCUCUCUCUCUCCUUGAAGUAUUGAUUUAUUGUCGGUAUCUUUUGUAGCAAAGCAACUUCUUUAACCUCCUUUGCUUGUUUCAGCUUUUUCCUAGCACUCCUCCUUAAGUGACACCGAUCCAUACUGUGGGUUUCAUAAACAAAUACAGUGGCGGUAAGAUUCUUUUUUACUGUCUGUCAAUUCUAACGGAAACUGUUGGCAUCUGACCAAUCAUGCAGCAAGCCAUUUGCAUAUUGCAACAGGAGUGUCUCAAAGUUUGUUGAGAAGUAACUGAAAAAGAAUCAUACAUAUUACAGUACAUUUAAAAGCAAAAACCCUGGAAAAAUAUUUUAGCUUAUGUACUUAAAAUUCAAAAACAGCUAAAAAGAAACAAAUUUUUAAGCACCGAAAAAUAGAAGCUCUUUGAAUACGGUAUAGAUACCCCACAAUAUAUUUAAAUAUAUUUACUUACAGUGCCUGAGUUGUAAUAUGAUACUUGAUUUACAACAACAAACUACAUAAAAAAUUACUUUUUUAAAAAAGGGGAAAAAACCCAGGAAAGCAACAAGAAAAAAAAUCACUAAUUAGAUUCUGGAUUAUAGCAGUAUUGAUGAAUCUAUUAUAAAGAUUUUUCUGGGGGCCCCCAAAUUGGCUGGGCCCCUGGGCUUGAGCCCCAUGGGCCUUUGUGUUAAUCCACCACUGAGUACAACUAGGUAACACUAUGAACAACUAUAUACAAAUAUCUACAAGUAGCAAACAGAGAAGAAAUCACUCACGAAUCUGAGAGUGUGAAUGGACAGGGGUUCUGACUCUCGCCAUGCGGCAGUAAGAGAGAAGUGAAACAGUGUCGAACUGCAUAGCCUGUUGUAGCCUCAGCUGCAAACAUGAGGUGGACGUACAAUGCAUGCGCAGGUCAAUGAACGCUGCUACAGAAUCUUUUGGCUCCAGCGCAUGGCUCACAUGCACACCCACAUUUGGAAUCCAUGUAGGGACCAGCACUCGAAGAAGAAGGUAUAUUACCUUGUUUUUUCCUCAAUUCAUGCUUCUGCUUUACCGAAGAAAUGUAUGCCAUAGUAACUAGCUAGUAAUGAACUCCACUUACUGCCAUGCUAGCAGCAGUAAACUAUUGAUGCAUAAAGAAUAUGAAGAUUAAAUUAUGAAGAAUUUCCAGUAAGAAACACUGCUGAUAAGAGUUUACAUUAGGGCUUGGAGGACUAGUUCCAAAGAAAAUAUUAAACUAUCCAGAAAUACUGCCUUCCUCUCUCUUCUGUCUUAGCUGUUCAUUAUUUUUUUUCUCACCUACCCAUCUUUCCCCUUACUUCACUAUUAUCCUAGUCUGUACUUCAGGCCAUAUGUCUGCCUGAAUAAAUUGUUUCCCUUCCCACACACCUAUUCUGCUAGCCCCCCCUACCUCCUCUCCAUCCUUAAAUGCUCAUCUAGUUUUCAUGCUACUAGUAGUGCCUUCUGUGUUUUGUAAUACUGUAAUACUGUGAUCUUGGGGUCCAUAGUGUUUGCCUGAAGUGCUUCAGAAUACAAUCCAUGCCAGAGAAAAGCAGUGUAGAGUCUAGGAUCACAUUAGCAGCUGACAGCAAGAUUUACAUCAAGGGCAAAGAUAACAGGGAAAUCUAAAAUGGUAAAGGAAAGAGAAGCUGGUUAAGGGGAAAUUGAGAAUGAACAGGUCAUAGAGACAAUGAGAAUAAGCCCUAUAGCAAUGUAAUGCGGUUUGAUGGGGUCCAGUUUGUAAAGAGUAAAUUAAAGGUAUAAGUAGGAUGUUUGGGUCUGGCCUGAGACUUUUUACAGCAGCUGGAGAUGAGCAGGAAUCUCAGUACAUUCAGCUUCUCUCAAAAAGUUCAGAUAAACACCCAGAUAUUAUAGUGCUCAUCCAAAUCUUUCUGAAUCUGAGAAUCUGUUGAGGUCUUUGGAUCCCUGAGAAGGCUGUGAUCUCUUCUUAUUGUAGACACUAGAAAUGUAAAGGAGAGUCUCAGCUUUCAUUUUAAAAGUCUGUUUCAAAUGAAACUAUAAAACUAGGUAAACUGAUCACUAAGGUUGAAAGGAUCAAACAAUAGGUUCCACUUCUGCAGCAGAAGACUAAGGGGACCAAACAAAACACACACAUACACACACUUUUUAUGUCAUGUAAAAUGCAUCCUUUAUAUCUGAGGCAUAUCUCAAAGAACCACUUGGCUCACCUUACCCAUAAUCUGGAAAUUAGCAUUGUGCACAGGGGGUUGACAGUGAUGGAUAGGAAUUCAUUGUGUUGUGGUUGGAGAGGCUUAGCAAAAUUAAAAUUUGCAGGUGUGAUCAAAAAAUGCUCAGGCUGUCUCUGUCUUGAGGUUUGCUCAUCACUAAUUAUAAUGUCAAUGAGGAUUUUAAAAGAGCCUUAAAGAGAGAAAAUAUAACUUUACCAUGUAGAAAGUAAAAACAACUGGGAAACUUGGAUUCUGAUCCUCAGGGUGCUGAGGCUUCAGUGGGAGUUGAAGGCACUCAACACUACUCAGGAUGGGGCUCUUUCAUUUAUACGUCAAUGUAAUAGUUCCUCUUUUAGCAUUUUGUUUUCCUAUGAGUGCUUGAGAUAUAAGCUAUUUGUCUAGGCGGUUUUGACGAAGAAUAGUUUUUUAUCUUGUAGUCAUUCACAUAUUAUUUUUACUUUUAAAGAAAGAAGCGUGGAGUAAUGGUGAACUGUUCAUUGUUGCAAGAUUGCAUAUUCCAUCUAUUUAUAUAACCUCUCUUCAAUCUCAUUGUGCUAACAUAAUCCCAGUCACCUCAGUAGAAUUACACCAUGGAUGAAUUUGACCCAUAGUGUCCAAAAUAGUAAUGAACCGUUCUUUGUCACUUUACUUAAAUACUGUCAUAUUAAUCACUUGGGCAUAUAAUGUCCCCAGUCUGUGUAUGCAGCUUCCACUGGCAGUGGUCUGAGUUGAGUGUGUAUAACCGAUAGCAUGAUUAGCAGGAACAGAAGUUUUGUGUGUUCAGUACCUUUGAAAAUCAGAUUUUAAUUUAAGUGCAUAACUUCAGGCACCAAGUUUGGAAAAAUGUCUCAAUUUUUCAUUAAUGCCAUUCUUCGUAAGGCAAAGUUACAUUUUAUGAACCCUACAGGUGCUAUCACUGACCUAAUUUUGUUUAAUUAUAAUCACUAUAUAAUUCACCAAAGGAAAAAAUCAUUUAAAAAAAUUAGCACAAAACCAGUGUAUGGCAUACUAAAAUCUCUCUGAUUCCCAUUAAUAAUAGGGACACUGAUUGCAAAUUACCGAAUGUUAGGAAUGAGCAAGGAGAUGAACACACAAUAAAAAAAAAGGCCCCAAGAAUAAUGCAUCACAAAAUAUUCUUUUUUUAUUUUGACAGUUGUCAUUGAUCAGAAUUCUUAAUGUGCUAUAGAAUAGUUUGUUAAAAUAAGGAAUUUUUAAUAAUACAAGACGUCUCUACAGAAUCUGCUAUUAAAUCUUUGCUGAGGAGUGAGAAUACCACACUGUAUUUUGUGUGACUACUAAAGUCUAUAGACCAGCAGAGGCCAGAUUUGUGAAGUCCUACUAAAACUACUAAAAAAUUUUAAAAUAAUUUAUAGCAGCCCAUUUUUUAGUAAUGGACACCACAAAUGUAAAGAACUUCCUUCCUGCAAUCUGUCCUUGGGCACAACUCUCCUUUGAUUUAGUUCGUGUUGUCUGAAAAAGGACUGUAAGAUCAGUCCACAAAACAGGCUUGCCUCAUUAAGUGGUAGGGUGACCAGACAGCAAGUGUGAAAAAUCGGAACAGGGGGUGGGGGGUAAUAGGUGCCUAUGUAGGAAAAAGUUCCAAAAAUCAGGACUGUCCCUAUAAAAUCGGGACAUCUGGUCACCCUAUUACGUGGUCAAGGCCCCAGUCCUAUGAAUACACAUGAGUAACUUUAGGGCUUGUCUAUACUGUGCCAUAGGGCAGUCUACAGAGAUAUGAACUGCAGCACGCACCAAAAUGUUGCACUCUAGCUGCUUGAUGUGGAUGGUGCUGGUGUGAACUAAAAGGUACCUAGUUUGUAUUUAUGUAGUUCUCUUCAAACAGGACUAUGUUAGUGCGAACUAGAUACCAUUUAGUUUGCCCCAGCAGCAUCCACAUUGGGCAGCUAGAGCACAACAUUCUGGUGUGCGUGGCAGCUCAUGCCUCGGUAGUCCAUACUGCAGCGUAGAGAUAGCCUUACCUAUGUGAGCAGUGCUAUUGACUUUGAAUAUUAAUGAAUUAAAGAUAGCAGACAAAUCCUGCCUGCUUGUCUUUGUUAUGAGGUACAUCUCUACUCUGCAGCUGGGAGCAUCGCUCCCAGCCUGGUUAGACAGAUACGUGCUUACUCCGCUAGAGCCAAUGAACUAAAAAUAGUAGCAUGGACGUUGUGGCACAGGCUAGUCAUCUGAGCUUGGACCCAAGGGGACAGGCACACUUGUACUCAGUCACUUAGCCUGUGCCACUAUUGUUAGCACGCUAGUUCAAACACAACUAGCGUGUAUCUGUCUAUGUUCCCAUGUAUCUGGGCACGUUCCCAGCUGCCAUUUAGACAUACUCUGACGACUUAAUUAGACAAUUAUAAAUGCUUCCUUGGUUUGUAGGUUUUAUUUUUGAAAUAAUUGGAAAGUGAUUUUAAAAAUAUGAAGGCAUUUUAUCAACUCAAUAGAAAUAGUUGAUUUUUAAAAACAUUAAGAUGUUUUAAAUUAUCGUGGCCUGCACUACAAAGAGGUAUCCAUCCCAUUCACAUGAUUUUUUUUUAAUUGCAUCUCACGUACAAUCCACAAUCCUUGUGUUUUAAUUUCCACAGUGGGACAUUGUACUUACAUUAACAUUUUGCAAAUGUACCUUAGUUUGUUCUGUGCUCUGAUGUUGAGUAUAUAGGCUUUCUGUUUAUAUCCAAACAGUAAUUUCUCUUAAAUACAUAGUUUUUGCAGCAUUUCUUUCUGUUGUCCCAUCUAUUUUUAACAAGACGGCAGCUUUUUCUGCAUAGGUAUUUUGCUGUGAGAUGCAAUUUGAACAUGAAUUGAUUUGAACAUGAGUUAAUUUCUUACAAUAUCAUUGUGCUAAAAACUCACAAACCCACCCAUUCUGGUUUUAGGCAUAUGUAAAACAUAUGAAAAAACUAGUUAAUUCAUAUUUGGCUUUAAUCUAAAAGCAGCCUCUUUCCAGUUUCUUAUCCCUUUCAUCUCAAAAAUAAUGUUAUCUAUUUAUUUCAGUUUUGAACCCUUCCAAUAUUAGGCUCUGAAUGGACAGGGAUGUACUUUUAGGUCAUUUUGAUGGUUUUUAUUUGAGUGUUACAAAUUGAGCAUAUGUAAAAUAUGCAGUAUUUAUGAAUGAUUAAUAAAGGUUUAGCAGACACUGCAAUGAACUUCCUACUGAAUGCGGUAUGUCAUGGAUUCAAAUCAUGCAGAGCUUAGUUGCACAUUACCUGCUACAGCAAUCUGCCAAAAUCAGUAGAUCCCAAUUAUGUAUUUCUGCAGAAGUGUCUAUGAUGUAAAUUCUCCUAUGUUACAUUUCCAGAUUGGAAAGUUCAAUUCUUCUCUUCCUUGAGCCUCUUCCUUCUUCUGUGAGUCUGUACUUUGGGGAGAAUCUCAAGAAGAUCAAAGGCAAAUCCAAACAAUGCUAGAUUUGGGAAACUGUUUACUGAAAAGCAUUUUCUAAUAGAUCUCUGAAGAAGUGCAAUUGUAUAAUUAUUAUUGUUCAGUGCAUACAGUUCAUUGUCUCUUCAUCACUCUGUACACUGCUGCUAUUAGUGCUUGUUCUAAUAAAUCUCAAUGUACACUGUUUAA